GCCGGCGUGGCGGAAUUGGCAGACGCACAGGACUUAAAAUCCUGGGGAGUUAAAUCCGUACCGGUUCGAUUCCGGUCGCCGGCA
rnacentral:tRNA from 1 species